GAAACUCUAAAAUGACAACACUCUUGCCCUCGAGCUAAACCUCUGCCUUUCUCCCAUCGUGACCCUCAACGGUACCUUGUUGCAUUCUCACCUUUGUUUUGUUACCCAUAUACACACACCCACCUUCCUUUAGCAAAUCAAACCCAAAACCCAGUCCCAUCUCUUUACUGUUGGAGUUAUCAUGCAAAGCAAACCCAUCUAGCAA
rnacentral:misc_RNA from 1 species